rnacentral:rRNA from 1 species
ACUCAAAUGAAUUGACGGGGACCCGCACAAGCGGUGGAACAUGUGGUUUAAUUCGAUGCAACGCGAAGAACCUUACCUGGGCUUGACAUCUAGAGAAUCUCUGUGAAAGCAGGGAGUGCCGCAAGGAACUCUAAGACAGGUGGUGCACGGUUGUCGUCAGCUCGUGUCGUGAGAUGUUGGGUUAAGUCCCGCAACGAGCGCAACCCUCGUGGUCUGUUGUUACAGGUCGUAAGAUGCUGAACCCUCAGGCCAGACUGCCGGUGAUAAACCGGAGGAAGGUGGGGAUGACGUCAAAUCAUCACGCCCCUUAUGUCCAGGGCUACACACGUGUUACAAUGGGAAGAGGACAAUGGGCAGCUUGGCAGCGAUGUCUGGCAAAUCCUAAAACCUCCCCUCAGUUCGGAUCGGAGUCUGCAACUCGACUCCGUGAAGUCGGAAUCGCUAGUAAACGCAGAUCAGCACGCUGCGUUGAAUACGUUCCCGGGUCUUGUACACACCGCCCGU